GACGAACGCUGGCGGCGUGCUUAACACAUGCAAGCCGAACGGUGAAAGCGGAGCUUGCUCCGCUGGAUCAGUGGCGAACGGGUGAGUAACACGUGGGCAACCUGCCCCUCACUUCGGGAUAACUCCGGGAAACCGGGGCUAAUACCGGAUAUGACCUCCUUGGGCAUCCUUGGCGGUGGAAAGUUUUUCGGUGAGGGAUGGGCCCGCGGCCUAUCAGCUUGUUGGUGAGGUAGUGGCUCACCAAGGCGACGACGGGUAGCCGGCCUGAGAGGGCGACCGGCCACACUGGGACUGAGACACGGCCCAGACUCCUACGGGAGGCAGCAGUGGGGAAUAUUGCGCAGUGGGCGAAAGCCUGACGCAGCAACGCCGCGUGCGGGAUGACGGCCUUCGGGUUGUAAACCGCUUUCAGCAGGGAAGAAGCCGCAAGGUGACGGUACCUGCAGAAGAAGCACCGGCUAACUACGUGCCAGCCGCCGCGGUAACAC
rnacentral:rRNA from 1 species